GGCUGAAGGCGGCUCCGGGGGCCGGCGCGGCCCCGGGCGCUGCGGGCGGGGAAAGGGGCCUCGCCGCGGGAGGACCCGCCUGUUGUGGGUAACAUGGCAGCGUCCAGCCGGGCCCAGGUGCUGCGGCUUUACCGGGCCCUGUUACGGGAAAGCCAGCGUUUCGACGGCUACAAUUACAGAAUGUAUGCCAUCAGAAGGAUAAGAGAUGCCUUCAGAGAAAACAAGAAUAUAAAGGAUUCUGAAAAAAUAGAAGAACUUGUGAAUAAAGCCAAAGCAAACCUAGAGGUUAUUCAUCGGCAGGCUACAUGACAUUCUUCGUUGUCAAAAGACUGACUCUGUGCUCUUCUAUGACAUCCCUAUAUUUAGCAUGCUAGUGAGACUGAAUUCUUGUAGAGCAUAUUAAGAAAAGUCAGGUUACUAUUGGUCAGAUGUAUUCCACGCAGAAAUUGGUUAUUGAGAGUCCAGGAAACACAUAGUUAUGUGAAAACUCUGAUCCUGAAACAACACUGGACCAUCUUCAGCAUCCUACAGUGCCACAUACAGAUGCAUAAACUCACUGCACAUGUCUGAGCUUUUCUGUUCAGCAGAAAAAAUGUCUGGGAGACUCAGUUUUUGGCAACCAAAGUACUAUUUUCUAGUGGUUCACAUCUGAAAUAUAUUGCUGUGAUUUAUGAUAGCAUGUAAGGUAGUCUUAAAAUCUUGUUCGCUUGUGUGUCCCAUGUGAUGAAAGAGUUCUUGCUCUAUUUUGACAAUAAAACUUCAUUAAACUACCUGUAA